rnacentral:rRNA from 1 species
GACGAACGCUGGCGGCGUGCUUAACACAUGCAAGUCGAACGGAAAGGCCCUGCUUUUGUGGGGUGCUCGAGUGGCGAACGGGUGAGUAACACGUGAGUAACCUGCCCUUGACUUUGGGAUAACUUCAGGAAACUGGGGCUAAUACCGGAUAGGAGCUCCUGCUGCAUGGUGGGGGUUGGAAAGUUUCGGCGGUUGGGGAUGGACUCGCGGCUUAUCAGCUUGUUGGUGGGGUAGUGGCUUACCAAGGCUUUGACGGGUAGCCGGCCUGAGAGGGUGACCGGCCACAUUGGGACUGGGAUGCGGCCCAGACUCCUACGGGAGGCAGCAGUGGGGAAUAUUGCACGAUGGGCGGAAGCCUGAUGCAGCAACGCCGCGUGCGGGAUGACGGCCUUCGGGUUGUAAACCGCUUUCGCCUGUGACGAAGCGUGAGUGACGGUAAUGGGUAAAGAAGCACCGGCUAACUACGUG